UCAAACUUACCAUGUAAAGAUAUUUGUGGGAUAGUAGAAGAGGGAGAGAGGCCGAUGUGUGGAGUUGUAAAGCUAUCACUCAUAGAAUUAUGCUAACGAUGCUGAGAUGGAGUUCAUGAUUCUUCUCUUCCCAAUGGAUCGGAUAGUAGAUGGAAGUGUUUUUUUUAUGCCCUCUUGUAUUUGAGAGAGUGAGGAUAACAUUGAUACUAUUAAAAAAAAUAAAAAUUUAUUUUUGAAUGGAUGGGAUGAUUCAAAUUAAAUCUAAAGACCACAAU
rnacentral:lncRNA from 1 species